UCGGGAAUUUUGGGCAAUGGGCGAAAGCCUGACCCAGCAACGCCGCGAGAGGGAUGAAGUAUUUCGGUAUGUAAACCUCGAAAGAAUGGGAAGAAUAAAUGACGGUACCAUUUAUAAGCUCCGGCUAACUACGUGCCAGCAGCCGCGGUAAUACGUAGGGAGCAAGCGUUGUUCGGAUUUACUGGGCGUAAAGGGCGCGUAGGCGGCGCGGUAAGUCACUUGUGAAAUCUCUGAGCUCAACUCGGAACGGCCAAGUGAUACUGCUGUGCUAGAGUGCGGAAGAGGCAACCGGAAUUCUUGGUGUAGGGGUGAAAUGCGUAGAUAUCAAGAGGAACACCUGAGGCGAAGGCGGGUUGCUGGGCCGACACUGACGCUGAUGCGCGAAAGCCAGGGGAGCAAACG
rnacentral:rRNA from 1 species